AGAUUGUAAGGAAUCGUACCCCAAACCGACACAGGUGGUCGGGUAGAGAAUACCAAGGCGCUUGAGAGAACUCGGGUGAAGGAACUAGGCAAAAUGGUACCGUAACUUCGGGAGAAGGUACGCUCUCGACGGUGAAGUCCCUUGCGGAUGGAGCUAUUGAGAGUCGCAGAUACCAGGUGGCUGCAACUGUUUAUUAAAAACACAGCACUGUGCAAAAUCGUAAGAUGACGUAUACGGUGUGACGCCUGCCCGGUGCCGGAAGGUUAAUUGAUGGGGUUAGACUUCGGUCGAAGCUCUUGAUCGAAGCCCCGGUAAACGGCGGCCGUAACUAUAACGGUCCUAAGGUAGCGAAAUUCCUUGUCGGGUAAGUUCCGACCUGCACGAAUGGCGUAAUGAUGGCCACGCUGUCUCCACCCGAGACUCAGUGAAAUUGAAAUCGCUGUGAAGAUGCAGUGUACCCGCGGCUAGACGGAAAGACCCCGUGAACCUUUACUACAGCUUGGCACUGAACAUUGACCCUACAUGUGUAGGAUAGGUGGGAGGCUUUGAAGCACGUACGCCAGUAUGUGUGGAGCCGUCCUUGAAAUACCACCCUUGUAGUGUUGAUGUUCUAACGUUGACCCCUUAUCGGGGUUGCGGACAGUGCCUGGUGGGUAGUUUGACUGGGGCGGUCUCCUCCCAAAGAGUAACGGAGGAGCACGAAGGUGGGCUAAUCACGGUUGGACAUCGUGAGGUUAGUGCAAUGGCAUAAGCCCGCUUGACUGCGAGAAUGACAAUUCGAGCAGGUGCGAAAGCAGGUCAUAGUGAUCCGGUGGUUCUGAAUGGAAGGGCCAUCGCUCAACGGAUAAAAGGUACUCCGGGGAUAACAGGCUGAUACCGCCCAAGAGUUCAUAUCGACGGCGGUGUUUGGCACCUCGAUGUCGGCUCAUCACAUCCUGGGGCUGAAGUCGGUCCCAAGGGUAUGGCUGUUCGCCAUUUAAAGUGGUACGCGAGCUGGGUUUAGAACGUCGUGAGACAGUUCGGUCCCUAUCUGCCGUGGGCGUUGGAAGAUUGAAGGGGGCUGCUCCUAGUACGAGAGGACCGGAGUGGACGAACCUCUGGUGUUCGGGUUGUGUCGCCAGACGCAUUGCCCGGUAGCUAAGUUCGGAAUCGAUAACCGCUGAAAGCAUCUAAGCGGGAAGCGAGCCCUGAGAUGAGUCUUCCCU
rnacentral:rRNA from 1 species